UGAACACCGACACACGGAUCUGGCGCCUUCGGUGUCCGAGUUGUAAUUUGAAGAUUGUAACCUUGGGGUUGGCUCUUGUCUAUGUUUCUUGGAACAGGACGUCACAGAGGGUGAGAAUCCCGUGCGAUGAGAUGCCCAAUUCUAUGUAAGGUGCUUUCGAAGAGUCGAGUUGUUUGGGAAUGCAGCUCUAAGUGGGUGGUAAAUUCCAUCUAAAGCUAAAUAUUGGCGAGAGACCGAUAGCGAACAAGUACAGUGAUGGAAAGAUGAAAAGAACUUUGAAAAGAGAGUGAAAAAGUACGUGAAAUUGUUGAAAGGGAAGGGUUUGAGAUCAGACUCGAUAUUUUGUGAGCCUUGCCUUCGUGGCGGGGUGACCCGCAGCUUAUCGGGCCAGCAUCGGUUUGGGCGGUAGGAUAAUGGCGUAGGAAUGUGACUUUACUUCGGUGAAGUGUUAUAGCCUGCGUUGAUGCUGCCUGCCUAGACCGAGGACUGCGAUUUUAUCAAGGAUGCUGGCAUAAUGAUCCCAAACC
rnacentral:rRNA from 1 species